UAAGGAAUAUUGGACAAUGGUCGCAAGACUGAUCCAGCCAUGCCGCGUGAAGGAUGACGGCCCUAUGGGUUGUAAACUUCUUUUGUAUGGGAAAAAACCUCUCUACGUGUAGAGAGCUGAUGGUUCCAUAAGAAUAAGGAUGGGCUAACUUCCGUGC
rnacentral:rRNA from 1 species